rnacentral:rRNA from 1 species
AUUGAACGCUGGCGGCAGGCCUAACACAUGCAAGUCGAGCGGAUGAAGGGUGCUUGCUCCUGGAUUCAGCGGCGGACGGGUGAGUAAUGCCUAGGAAUCUGCCUGGUAGUGGGGGAUAACGUCCGGAAACGGGCGCUAAUACCGCAUACGUCCUGAGGGAGAAAGUGGGGGAUCUUCGGACCUCACGCUAUCAGGUGAGCCUAGGUCGGAUUAGCUAGUUGGUGGGGUAAAGGCCUACCAAGGCGACGAUCCGUAACUGGUCUGAGAGGAUGAUCAGUCACACUGGAACUGAGACACGGUCCAGACUCCUACGGGAGGCAGCAGUGGGGAAUAUUGGACAAUGGGCGAAAGCCUGAUCCAGCCAUGCCGCGUGUGUGAAGAAGGUCUUCGGAUUGUAAAGCACUUUAAGUUGGGAGGAAGGGCAGUAAGUUAAUACCUUGCUGUUUUGACGUUACCAACAGAAUAAGCACCGGCUAACUUCGUG